GGCCUUGGGGUGUUACACGCAGGAUUGCAAGUCCUGAGAAGCAGAGAAGUUUGCCGGGGCUU
rnacentral:tRNA from 1 species